ACCGGGAGUCGAACCCGCGACGUCCGCGUCAAGGACUAAGGCCUCCAAACGUGGGGCGUGCUAACCCCCUGCGCCACCACAGCACGCCCCUUAAUUAAGUUUUAAAACAUUUUCAAAGCAGAACUCAUCAUGCAGCGUUAGAGCGUAGGCUAUUAUUUUGGUAGGAGCAGCCAAAUUACAAAUUGCUAGAAAUUACUCCAUGCCUAAUCUCAAGUUACUGAAGAAUUGGAUUGUAAUUCAUGUUAAAAUAAAAAGCAAAUCGGACUUCUCCACGUUUGCGAGAUGCUGACAAAACAGCUAAUGAACAGAGAACUGCUUUUGAAAUCAUCUUGUUCCGACAGCUUUUUUUUUUCUUCUCCUGAUUGAGCCUAGUAUCUAUUACGUUGGCAAAAAUUGCUCUCGGUGGAAGAAACGGCAAAUGUCGGGUGAAAUUUUAACCCAUCC